rnacentral:rRNA from 1 species
AUUGAACGCUGGCGGCAUGCCUUACACAUGCAAGUCGAACGGCAGCGGGGGAGAAGCUUGCUUUUCCUGCCGGCGAGUGGCGAACGGGUGAGUAAUACAUCGGAACGUGCCCUGUAGUGGGGGAUAACUAGUCGAAAGAUUAGCUAAUACCGCAUACGACCUGAGGGUGAAAGUGGGGGACCGCAAGGCCUCAUGCUAUAGGAGCGGCCGAUGUCUGAUUAGCUAGUUGGUGGGGUAAAGGCCUACCAAGGCGACGAUCAGUAGCUGGUCUGAGAGGACGAUCAGCCACACUGGGACUGAGACGCGGCCAAGACUCCUACGGGAGGCAGCAGUGGGGAAUUUUGGACAAUGGGCGAAAGCCUGAUCCAGCAAUGCCGCGUGUGUGAAGAAGGCCUUCGGGUUGUAAAGCACUUUUGUCCGGAAAGAAAUGGCUCUGGUUAAUACCUGGGGUCGAUGACGGUACCGGAAGAAUAAGGACCGGCUAACUACGUGCCAGCAGCCGCGGUAA